rnacentral:rRNA from 1 species
AAACAGAGGGAAGCGAGCCUGCGAGGGGGAGCGAAUCCCAAAAAUAACGUCCCAGUUCGGAUUGUAGUCUGCAACCCGACUACAUGAAGCUGGAAUCGCUAGUAAUCGCGGAUCAGAAUGCCGCGGUGAAUACGUUCCCGGGUCUUGUACACACCGCCCGUCACACCAUGGGAGUCGGAAAUGCCCGAAGUCUGUGACCCAACCUUAGGGAGGGAGCAGCCGAAGGCAGGUCGGAUGACUGGGGUGAAGUCGUAACAAGGUAUC